rnacentral:rRNA from 1 species
GAUGAACGCUGGCGGCGUGCUUAACACAUGCGAGUCGAACGGUGAAGGCGGAGCUUGCUCUGCUGGAUCAGUGGCGAACGGGUGAGUAACACGUGAGCAAUCUGCCCCUGACUCUGGGAUAAGCGCUGGAAACGGCGCCUAAUACUGGAUACGAGCUGCGCAGGCAUCUUCAGCAGCUGGAAAGAACUUCGGUCAGGGAUGAGCUGGCGGCCUAUCAGCUUGCUGGUGGGGUAACGGCUCACCAAGGCGUCGACGGGUAGCCGGCCUGGGAGGGUGAACGGCCACCCUGGGACUGCGAGACGGCCCAGACUCCUACGGGAGGCAGCAGUGGGGAAUAUUGCACAAUGGGCGAAAGCCUGAUGCAGCAACGCCGCGUGAGGGACGACGGCCUUCGGGUUGUAAACCUCUUUUAGCAGGGAAGAAGCGAAAGUGACGGUACCUGCAGAAAUAGCGCCGGCUAACUACGUG